GACGAACGCUGGCGGCGUGCUUAACACAUGCAAGUCGAGCGGGGAUGUACUGCGGAAGGCUUCGGCUGGAAGCGGUGCAUUCUAGCGGCGGACGGGUGAGAAACGCGUGAGCAAUCUGUCCCAGACAGGGGGAUAACACUUGGAAACAGGUGCUAAUACCGCAUAAGACCACGAGAUGGCAUCCUCUAGAGGUAAAAGGAUCAAUCCGGUCCGGGGUGAGCUCGCGUCCCAUCAGCUAGUUGGUGAGGUAACGGCCCACCAAGGCGACGAUGGGUAGCCGACCUGAGAGGGUGAUCGGCCACAUUGGAACUGAGACACGGUCCAGACUCCUACGGGAGGCAGCAGUGGGGAAUAUUGUGCAAUGGGCGCAAGCCUGACCCAGCAAUGCCGCGUGAAGGAAGAAGGUUUUCGGAUUGUAAACUUCUGUCCUAAGUGACGAAGGAAGUGACGGUAGCUUAGGAGGAAGCCCCGGCUAACUACGUGCCAGCAGCCGCCGUAA
rnacentral:rRNA from 1 species